rnacentral:antisense_RNA from 1 species
AACUUCAGGUUCGAGGGCUUCCUUGCCGUCUGCCAAGAACACUCGUCUUGCGGCCAUGUUCAGAUUCAGCUUUUCUGUGCACUUUUCCAGCAGCUAGAAGAAAGCAAGAGAGUUUCUGAUUGCCCGGGUUGAAGUGUAUCUCAUAUUUCCCACAGUGUAAUUAACAACAUUCUACUCUGGUGCUUUCAAAGAAAAAAACAAAAACAAAAACAAAACCCGAGAGAUGUGUUACAUUUUAAUGUCUGAGAUAGUCAAUUGAAACAUUAUAAACUCUGCUCAAAGGAAAGAACUUCAACAAUAGGUUAAAAAGAACAGAGAACAGCUUUGAUUACCUCAGUUGACCCACUGGAGCACUGACAGGCCUUCAGACUCAGAUUGGAAACUACAGCAAUGGCCCUCUGUCUCUCAGGCCUUUGAACCACACCACUGGUUUUCCUGGGUCUCCAGCUUGUAGAUGGCUAAUCAUGAGACUUCACAGCCUCCAUAAUCGGGUCCAGAGUCUGGGCAAAGCUUAGCUGGAUCCUCUGUUCAGGAUCUCACAGAGCUGAAAUCAAGGUGUCAGCUGGGGCUGCAGUC